rnacentral:rRNA from 1 species
UACAGAGGUCCCAAGCGUUGUUCGGAUUCACUGGGCGUAAGGGUGCGUAGGUGGCCAGGUAAGUUUGGUGUGAAAGCUCGGAGCUUAACUCCGAAAAGUCAUUGAAUACUAUCUGGCUGGAGGGUCGGAGGGGAGACUGGAAUUCUCGGUGUAGCAGUGAAAUGCGUAGAUAUCGAGAGGAACACCAGUGGCGAAGGCGAGUCUCUGGACGACUCCUGAUACUGAGGCACGAAAGCUAGGGGAGCAAACCAGG